CAGUGUGACUAUCUUGGUUCUUAGAGUGAGGUUCUUAGAGUGAUCUGGGUACCGCCAGAGGGCAGGAAUAGUAUUCCUAUUUAUGUAAAUAGGACAGUGUAGGUCAGAGAAGCCAGGAGACUUCCUCAAAGGUACACAGGUUGGUGGUGGAAAUAAGAACAGACUGCUGUGUGACCCAUAAGUCACUGGAGAUGACAGGAGUCCUCUCCUGGUCUGCGGCCAUGGAAGCCUUCAUCAAGCUGGGUUUCUUCUUCAGUUCUCAGAUUCACAUCGUUUGCUGGGGUGCCUCAAAGGGGAAGCCUGGUGUUCAAGGUCACUGGGAACAGCUUCUGAGAGAUGGCCUUGUGUCUGAAUUCUGGCCAAAGGGUCGUCAGUGGAAAUAUCCGGUGGCAGAUGUUGAGAACCUUUCUUCAUCCUGCUGCUUGGAAGGCAGAUGCUGCCACCGUGGACCAGGAGGUCAAGACCCCACCUGGGAGAGCAACAAGAUAGCAGAAGCUUGAGUUCUUGUCACUGGAACCACACGUGAAACUUGGGUCACUUCCUUGGAUUUGUAGAAGCCAUUGCCAUUUUUUUUUUCUUUUUGGUCUGUUUGUUGAUCACUCUGAGCUAACUCCUAACAAAGCAAGUGCAAUCAAUCUAACAGCAGCCUGUGUAGACUGUUUCUCACCCAGGCCAUUUUACUUAAGCCCCCGGAAGCAUGAUCUUUCACCAUUUCCCCCAGUUCCUUCUAGUCUGUGAUGCUGAUGUGUACAGCAGAAAGAGGAUGUGGAUGUGUAAUUACAUGAUUGGGUUCCCUGGUUGGCCGGCAGGAGCAAUAACAAGCCAACAGCCCUCAGAAGUCCGCGUCAUCCCUCUAGUACACACAUCAGAUUCAUCAUGUUCAUUAUUUGUCUAAAACACACAUUCCCCCCACAUGCCUCUUUCAGUCUUUCACCUCCAGGAUGGAGCUAAUUAAUCUGCAUGCAGCCCAGACUUCAUUACAGUUUUCUUCUUUGGAAUGUGCUUUUUUCUUACUCUAUGCCAUUGCCAAAAGAAGGGAGUGGGCUACCAGGGCCAUUGGCAGUGGACAUACGGAGUCCAGCCCUAGUUGGAUCCCCUACUAACUUUGGAGGUGACAUGCAAAUCAUUCUACAGUUUUGCUUUUUGUCUUUUCAUUUUCCCCACCCCCUGUCUCUUACUACAAGGUCUGCCUGCUCUAUUUAGUUUCUUCUAAAUUUACUAAUUUAACCUGAUUUAUCUCUGCCAGCUAUCUUGAUGCCUUUUUCUCUCCCUACAGAAAACAUUCCCGUCUAAAUUCUCCCUCUGAUGCACACUCAUGUUUGGUCUUGGGGACACCUGUUCUUCCCCACCCCCCACCACGAUCCACCUUCCAGCAUUAGGGUGCCAGCAAGCUUUCAAGGGUGUCAUCUAAGGGCAAUAAAAACAACUUUGAAAAGAUCCAGGCCCUUUCGUAAGACCACAGUCUGCCCAGAAACAAUCCUGUCUGUGACUUCCUUCUUUAAAAUGUUGGAUGUCAGAAGAAGGAAAAAGGACAAAAA